AAAUGUAAUAGCAUUUUAAUUUAUAUAUAUAUAUAUAUAUAUAUAUAUAUAUAUAUAUAUAUAUAUAUAUAUAUAUAUAUAUAUAUAUAUAUAUAAAUAUAUGUGUGUGUGUAUAUAUAUAUAUAUAUAUAUAUACGUGUGUGUGUGUAUAUGUAAAAGAUUGACAAAAACAUGUGAACAAUGAAGGAAAAAGAUCUACAACAUUUAAAAAUGCACUUCUUGCUGAUAUUAUCUCCUGUUUGCUGGUCACGUUGUGAAUAUUGACAGCAAGCUGGAGUGCCUUUUGUGUAUGCUGUAUUAACUGUUUGUUUGUAAAAAUGGGGCCCUGAACUGUACGUUUCCAUCUCAGACAUUUUGGGCCUUUAUGCUGUAUAAACAUUCUUUUUCUUUCUUUCUUUCUUUCUUUCUUUCUUUCUUUCUUUCUUUCUUUCUUUUUUUUUUCUUUUGGGAAAAGACAUUUCAACAGAUGUCUUAAGAUACUAAAGUUGUUCAUUGACUUAUUUUUUUUGUCUGUUUCUGGGUGGGGGUGGGGGGUGGAUGGGGGGUCACUGUUGCCUGUGUAUGUAACUGCCUUGUUCCAAACUCAGUCGUGGCUAGCUGACAGUGAACCACAAUGUGGCUGUAAUUCCAAACAGCCAAACAUCACAAGAAGUCUCUGGUGACACUCUAGGUAGACUAAAGCUAAACAUUAUCCUGUAUAUUAUAAUGCUCAUUAUGUAGAAAAAUGCUAUCAGAUAUCUGAUUCCUUCCCUUUUGAAUCUACUGGGUAAAAUAUAAUUUGAAAUAAGCAAUAGACCUUGAUCCUUACAGUGUAUCAUUCGAGAGAAUUUGCCUAAGUAAAAAAAUAAAAAAACGAAAGACUGAUUAAUGAUAGAUAUGAACCAAAUAGUCUUACUGGAUAAGCAUGUUUAAAAUGAAAUGACACAGAACAUACAUGCAGUAUUUGUGUAUACCUAUGUUGAAACCCAUAAUUAUGAACCAUGUUUUUGUCUCUGUGCAAAGAAUGAAAAAUCAUAAACAUAUCAAAAGAUAUAUCUUUACCGAUACUUGAAUUAAAGUGUGUCAAUUGUAAAAUGUGAAUUUAUUUUUUCUUCAGUUUUUGUUUGGGUCUGACACUUUCAAGUUAUUGUAUAACAUGCUCACAAGGUAUAACAUUCUUCCCGAGGAAAAAAAAAAAAAUGUGAAAAAAAAGUUUGAAUGGUUCUGUGUGUGUGCUCUCUAAUCACUGCUUCUCGUCACGGGGCGACUGUCUGCAAUUAUGAUCCAUUUAGUAUGUUGUAUUGUCUGUUAUUUGUAUGUGCCUGUUUUUUAAAAAUUGUUCCAACAUGGUUACCAUCUAGCAUUGCACUGAGUGUCUUUUUUUCCCUUGCUCAGCUAUACUAUAAAAAAAUAAAUAAAUAAAUAAAAACCUGACACCUGCAAGGGAGAUGAUGACAAUUCAUGUGUUAAUGUUUACUCAAGGACUUUAUGGAUUUAUUUUCAUCUUAAAAUGUUUGAAACAUUUAAAAUUGUAUUUUUAUAGUGGUUUCAUUGUGGAUUAAUUCCCACAAGAGUUAUCAUUUUGAAGAGUGUUGCAUCAUUUCAAUUGCAUUAUUAUUAAAAAAAAAAAAAAGAAGAAGAAAAAAAAAAAACUUUGGCCAUAGUGAGAAAGUUGGUAGAGAAGCAGUUACCUUCAUGGAUGAACAGUAAAGAUAACCAGAUAGUUAGUGAAAUUCUGACUUAUUUCAAAAGGUGCCUCUCUUCCAUUCUGUGAAAUUCUUUUUCUUUUUAAAUCUACCUGUCGUUUACAAAUGAUUGAAUUGUCUGAAUUUGCAAAAAAAAAAAAAAAGCAAAUAAAAGAAAUUGAUUACAGGAAUGCAAAGAAAAAAACUUUUACAAUUACAUCUUCCAUCAAAAAAAAAACAAAAAAAAACAACCUUUUCAAAUGAAAACGUACAGUAUGCUACUUGCUGAACUCUGGGAUUGUUUCAGUGUUGCAUUGUAUUAUGCUUAUGAAUUACAUAAUUACAUUAUUGUUCUUGUUAUGCCUACAUUUCUUUUAAUUUUAGUUUGUGUAAAAGCAACAGGAUUCUGUCACUGUCUUGCACACUGACAAUGGACUUGGAUAUUUUCUCAGGAUAAUUAGGGGUCCAGAGUUCCAGUUCCACUGUUAUUAUCAUGAGAAUUCAACAAAUCGAUCAAUGAAAGAGAUUAAAAAAAUAAAAUAAAAAAAAUUGUUGUUGAUGGAAAUCCAGCUCUAAGCACUGAAGGUUAUGGAUUUAAAAAUGUCUUUUUGAAUUUUAAUCCGUAGCAGACACACAUUUACCAAAUAAUAGAUUUGUAGUGAACCUAUGUAUUAUAUUUCUUGAAGUGGAGUACUUUCCAUUUGAAAUAUGUUUGUAUCUGUCGCUUUAUGUACAAAUACAGUUUUGUUUAGGUUGUGGAAGGACCUACCACUGUUUGAUUUUACCUUGCCUGAUGGUUCUUAACGAGGUCCAGUAAAAGAUGCUUGAUAUUCCAUCCUCUUGUCUUUACUUGUUUUAAAAAUUCAGUAGAGGCCUGUAUGCAGUCUGUGAAUUGUAGAUCAACAUACAACUUGAACUCUUACUAGAUUGUCUUACAAGGUUUUGAGUGUGGGAUGAAAGUUAAUUCUCCAUUUAGGUUUAGCACUAGAUGCAGAAAUAAGAUGUUAUGAAAGGAUUAAGAAUCUAUGCACAAGUUUGAGUGGACAGUAUGUCCGGAUACGCUAUUCUUGCAAGGAUCUUUUUGGUGGGUUUCUUUGUACGAGUUUUUAUUUGAAUCAGCAGAUAUUAAAGUGUCAGCACCAUGCUCUGUGUCUCUCAACCAAGGAGUAUCAUCAACCAAGCACUGUGCGUUUAUGCAAAUCUCUGACAUUCUGGUGUUUAAAUGGGAUGAUUGGUUUUGAAAGGGAAUUUAACUGUUUCUCUUUAUUGUUCAGCUAUUAAGAACAUGACUGUACUGAGAUCUAACAAUGUUGCUGACUUUUAAAUGUUUUUUUUUCUUCUUCUUUUUUCUCUUUCCCUUAAAAUGGAUAGUUGACACACAAAUGAAAAUCCUGUCGCCAUUUACUCACCCUCAAGUAGUUCCAAAUCUGUAUGAGUUUCUUCUGGUGAACACAAAAGAACAGUUGCUGUUGCUGGUAGCCAUUGACUUCUUUUGUUCCAUUUUUUAUUCUUCUUCUCUCACUAUACUGUGGAGGUCAGUGGCUACCAACAACUGUUUGGUUACCUGCAUUCUUCAAAAUAUCUUCUUCUGCAUUCAACAGAAGAAAGAAAUUCACACAGGUUUGGAACAACAAAAUUUUCAUUUUUGGGUGAAAUAUCCUUUUAAUAGAAUGUGAUCAUUUGAGGCCUUUCCAUGUGGUAUGGAGAUUAUUUCAGCCUAUAUUAAUAAACAGCAUUUUCCUCUUG
ensembl:lncRNA